UACGUAGGGGGCUAGCGUUGUCCGGAAUCAUUGGGCGUAAAGCGCGUGUAGGCGGUCCGGUAAGUCCGCUGUGAAAGUCGGGGGGCUCAACCCUCGGAUGCCGGUGGAUACUGUCGGGCUUGAGUACGGAAGAGGCGAGUGGAAUUCCUGGUGUAGCGGUGAAAUGCGCAGAGUAUCAGGAGGAACACCAAUUGCGAAGGCAGCCCGCUGGGACGUUAAGCUGACCGCUGGAGACGCGAAAGCCAGG
rnacentral:rRNA from 1 species